AUACGUAGGGGGCAAGCGUUAUCCGGAUUUACUGGGUGUAAAGGGAGCGUAGACGGUAAAGCAAGUCUGAAGUGAAAGCCCCGGGCUCGACCCGGGAAUUGCUUUGGAAACUGUUUAGCUAGAGUGCAGGAGAGGUAAGCGGAAUUCCUAGUGUAGCGGUGAAAUGCGUAGAUAUUAGGAGGAACACCGGCGGCGAAGGCGGCUUACUGGACUGUAACUGACGUUGAGGCUCGAAAGCGUGGGGAGCAAACAGGAUUAGAUACCCUGGUAGUCCACGCCGUAAACGAUGAUUACUAGGUGUUGGUUGUCAUAGACAAUCGGUGCCGCAGCAAACGCAAUAAGUAAUCCACCUGGGGAGUACGUUCGCAAGAAUGAAACUCAAAGGAAUUGACGGGG
rnacentral:rRNA from 1 species